rnacentral:rRNA from 1 species
GACGAACGCUGGCGGCGUGCCUAAUACAUGCAAGUUGAGCGCUGAAGGUUGGUACUUGUACCGACUGGAUGAGCAGCGAACGGGUGAGUAACGCGUGGGGAAUCUGCCUUUGAGCGGGGGACAACAUUUGGAAACGAAUGCUAAUACCGCAUAAAAACUUUAAACACAAGUUUUAAGUUUGAAAGAUGCAAUUGCAUCACUCAAAGAUGAUCCCGCGUUGUAUUAGCUAGUUGGUGAGGUAAAGGCUAACCAAGGCGAUGAUACAUAGCAGACCUGAGAGGGUGAUCGGCCACAUUGAGAAUGGUACUCGGCCCCAACUCCUACGGGAGGCAGCAGUAGUGAAUCUUCGGCAAUGGACGAAAGUCUGACCGAGCAACGCCGCGUGAGCGAAGAAGGUUUUCGGAUCGUAAAACUCUGUUGGUAGAGAAGAACGUUGGUGAGAGUGGAAAGCUCAUCAAGUGACGGUAACUACCCAGAAAGGGACGGCUAACUACGUGCCAGCCGCCGCCGUAA